GGGGAGCAAUCCCUGAGUACAGUGGCGUACGGGUGAGUAACACGUGGAUGAUCUACCUUCUGGUGAGGAAUAACCAUGGGAAACCGUGGCUAAUACCGCAUAAGCACGAGAGUGGAAAGCAGCAAUGCGCCGGAAGAGGAGUCCGCGGCCGAUUAGCUAGUUGGCAGGGUAAAAGCCUACCAAGGCGACGAUCGGUAGCCGGCCUGAGAGGGCACACGGCCACACUGGCACUGAAACACGGGCCAGACUCCUACGGGAGGCAGCAGUGGGGAAUCUUGCACAAUGGGGGAAACCCUGAUGCAGCGACGCCGCGUGAGCGAUGAAGCCCUUCGGGGUGUAAAGCUCUUUCGGCAGGGAAGAUGAUGACGGUACCUGCAGAAGCAGCUGCGGCUAACUACGUGCCAGCAGCCGCGGUAAUACGUAGGCAGCGAGCGUUGUUCGGAGUUACUGGGCGUAAAGGGUGUGUAGGCGGUUGUUUAAGUUUGGUGUGAAAUCUCCCGGCUCAACUGGGAGGGUGCGCCGAAUACUGAAUGACUAGAGUGCGGGAGAGGAGAGUGGAAUUCCUGGUGUAGCGGUGAAAUGCGUAGAUAUCAGGAGGAACACCGGUGGUGUAGACGGCUCUCUGGACCGUAACUGACGCUGAGACACGAAAGCGUGGGUAGCAAACAGGAUUAGAUACCCUGGUAGUCCACGCCCUAAACGAUGCAUAUUUGGUGUGGGCCGUUCAGUCGGUCCGUGC
rnacentral:rRNA from 1 species